UUCCGGUUGAUCCCGCCGGACCCGACUGCUAUCAGAGUGGGACUAAGCCAUGCGAGUCAACAUAGCAAUAUGUGGCAUACGGCUCAGUAACACGUAGUCAACAUGCCCAGGGGACGUGGAUAACCUCGGGAAACUGAGGAUAAACCGCGAUAGGUCAUCACUUCUGGAAUGGGUAAUGACUUAAAUCUAUAUGGCCCCUGGAUUGGACUGCGGCCGAUCAGGCUGUUGGUGAGGUAAUGGCCCACCAAACCUGUAACCGGUACGGGCUCUGAGAGGAGGAGCCCGGAGAUGGGCACUGAGACAAGGGCCCAGGCCCUAUGGGGCGCAGCAGGCGCGAAACCUCUGCAAUAGGCGAAAGCUUGACAGGGUUACUCUGAGUGAUUUCCGUUAAGGAGAUCUUUUGGCACCUCUAAAAAUGGUGCAGAAUAAGGGGUGGGCAAGUCUGGUGUCAGCCGCCGCGGUAAUACCAGCACCCCGAGUGGUCGGGACGUUUAUUGGGCCUAAAGCAUCCGUAGCCGGUUCUACAAGUCUUCCGUUAAAUCCACCUGCUUAACAGAUGGGCUGCGGAAGAUACUAUAGAGCUAGGAGGCGGGAGAGGCAAGCGGUACUCGAUGGGUAGGGGUAAAAUCCGUUGAUCCAUUGAAGACCACCAGUGGCGAAGGCGGCUUGCCAGAACGCGCUCGACGGUGAGGGAUGAAAGCUGGGGGAGCAAACCGGAUUAGAUACCCGGGUAGUCCCAG
rnacentral:rRNA from 1 species